GAUGAGCAUCAGGGCCAUCUGAAGACCAGGUGUUUCCCAUAUUGAAGUAGAGUCAGGCUUUUUAUAGCAGAGAGGAAAGUUGCCUACGAGUGAUUUUGUCUUGACAGAAAUUUUCAGCUUCGAAACUUGAGAUUCAGGUUGAUGACUGUCAUAUGAGAACUUUUAAGGACUGCUAAGAUGAAAUUUUGGAACAGAAUGUCUGCAGGAUUUCAAGGAAGGUUGGCUUAUCAGGUCCCCAAAUUUGAAGGCAGUCUCAUGGUGCACUUGCUGUUCUGCCUUGUGUAAAACCUGGCUUUCCAAGGAGGACAUGUGCAACUUUCCUGAAAAGGUGUGAAGGACACACUCUUUAGAAGCUUCUUGACUAUUUUCCCCCGAUGAACAUCACUGCUUUCUGUCAGCCAAGUCCUUUGAGAUCAAUAUCUCUGUAUGUGACUAUUGCCUGUAGUCUUCACACAAAUGAGAUUACACACAUACACACAUGCACACUGCACAAGAAAACUCAAGCUCUUUGUUAGAAGAUAAUCCUCCAGGUAACUUCCAAUGAGUUACUAUGUUUGGAAGUUGGAGAAAAAGAUUGUAAUGCCCUUCUUCAUCUCAUUUUUUCUCUCAGGAAUGGAGUGAGAGACUGAACCUGGGGAAAAACUGUUCAAGCUUCUUCCCUUAUUCUGGUUACUAAAGAUGCAAUUAGACAUUCAAAGCCAUUGCAAUGAUAAUAUUGUACUUCUAACUUGUGAACAGUUUAGCUAU
rnacentral:lncRNA from 1 species